rnacentral:rRNA from 1 species
GACGUAGGGCGCGAGCGUUGUCCGGAUUUAUUGGGCGUAAAGAGCUCGUAGGCGGCUUGUCGCGUCGACUGUGAAAUCCCGCGGCUCAACUGCGGGUCUGCAGUCGAUACGGGCAGGCUAGAGUUCGGUAGGGGAGAACGGAAUUCCUGGUGUAGCGGUGAAAUGCGCAGAUAUCAGGAGGAACACCGGUGGCGAAGGCGGUUCUCUGGGCAUUACCUGACGCUGGAGGAGCGAAAGCAUGGGGAGCGAACAGG